UACGGAGGAUGCGAGCGUUAUCCGGAUUUAUUGGGUUUAAAGGGUGCGUAGGCGGAUUUUUAAGUCAGCGGUAAAAUGUCCGGGCUCAACCCGGGCCGGCCGUUGAAACUGGGGAUCUUGAGUGGGCGAGAAGUAUGCGGAAUGCGUGGUGUAGCGGUGAAAUGCAUAGAUAUCACGCAGAACUCCGAUUGCGAAGGCAGCAUACCGGCGCCCGACUGACGCUGAGGCACGAAAGCGUGAGGAUCGAACAGG
rnacentral:rRNA from 1 species